UUGCCGAGACCUCAGUGGUUUCAAAAGUGUAAAACUUUUCUCUUUGCUGCGUCCUGUGAAGAAAUUCGUCCUAGUGCCCAGCCUAGAUGUCCCCCGGUGCAGUUUAGGGCUGUUUCAUCCUGUCGCUGGGAGAAUAAAGAGUCCAACACUGAGAGACCUGGGAUAAAUCAACACAGUAUAUGCACUUACUAGUGCCAUGAGGAAUGCUGCAGCAGCACCAUGGUGCCAUGGCUAAAGAGGCACAGGAAGGUGGAUUUAUGUCCAAACAGGUACAAGAAGGCUGCUCCAAGAUGUCCCCAGGGACUUCUCUAGUUUGAGCAACCUGAAAUGUCUCAAGCACCAUAGGUCUUUAGGGGUGAAAUGCCCUUUGUGGAAGACACAGAACAGCAUUCAGGAGAGUGACAAGCCACCCACAGCAUCCUUUGCCUCCAGCUUGGAUUGAGAGCAUUCAAAACUUGUAAAUCAGAUUCUAGCCCUGGGACACUUCUAAAGGCUGUGCCAAGGUUUCAUCUGAGGGAUCAGAGCUGAAGCACUGAGAAAAUAAAUAUUAAACAAUAGUGACCAAAACCAUAAAGAUGAGUUUAAAUAAUUUCCCAGCUUCACAGCUGGGAACAACUCCAUUGCCUUUGACAUCUUGAAAACAGAUCCAGCCUCUUUCUUUUUGCCAGCUGUGGGAUCUGUGUUGAAAGGCAUUCCACUGCAUGGAGAAUACUAAUUUGUGGGUUUGCUAGGAUUUCCUUCCCUUGAGCAUGCACCUACCAGGUUUGAUGCUAGAAAGGAUGAUCAAGGAGAAGUGUCAUU